rnacentral:rRNA from 1 species
GACGAACGCUGGCGGCGUGCCUAAUACAUGCAAGUCGAACGAACUCUGGUAUUGAUUGGUGCUUGCAUCAUGAUUUACAUUUGAGUGAGUGGCGAACUGGUGAGUAACACGUGGGAAACCUGCCCAGAAGCGGGGGAUAACACCUGGAAACAGAUGCUAAUACCGCAUAACAACUUGGACCGCAUGGUCCGAGUUUGAAAGAUGGCUUCGGCUAUCACUUUUGGAUGGUCCCGCGGCGUAUUAGCUAGAUGGUGGGGUAACGGCUCACCAUGGCAAUGAUACGUAGCCGACCUGAGAGGGUAAUCGGCCACAUUGGGACUGAGACACGGCCCAAACUCCUACGGGAGGCAGCAGUAGGGAAUCUUCCACAAUGGACGAAAGUCUGAUGGAGCAACGCCGCGUGAGUGAAGAAGGGUUUCGGCUCGUAAAACUCUGUUGUUAAAGAAGAACAUAUCUGAGAGUAACUGUUCAGGUAUUGACGGUAUUUAACCAGAAAGCCACGGCUAACUACGUGCCAGCAGCCGCGGUAAUACGUAGGUGGCAAGCGUUGUCCGGAUUUAUUGGGCGUAAAGCGAGCGCAGGCGGUUUUUUAAGUCUGAUGUGAAAGCCUUCGGCUCAACCGAAGAAGUGCAUCGGAAACUGGGAAACUUGAGUGCAGAAGAGGACAGUGGAACUCCAUGUGUAGCGGUGAAAUGCGUAGAUAUAUGGAAGAACACCAGUGGCGAAGGCGGCUGUCUGGUCUGUAACUGACGCUGAGGCUCGAAAGUAUGGGUAGCAAACAGGAUUAGAUACCCUGGUAGUCCAUACCGUAAACGAUGAAUGCUAAGUGUUGGAGGAUUUCCGCCCUUCAGUGCUGCAGCUAACGCAUUAAGCAUUCCGCCUGGGGAGUACGGCCGCAAGGCUGAAACUCAAAGGAAUUGACGGGGGCCCGCACAAGCGGUGGAGCAUGUGGUUUAAUUCGAAGCUACGCGAAGAACCUUACCAGGUCUUGACAUACUAUGCAAAUCUAAGAGAUUAGACGUUCCCUUCGGGGACAUGGAUACAGGUGGUGCAUGGUUGUCGUCAGCUCGUGUCGUGAGAUGUUGGGUUAAGUCCCGCAACGAGCGCAACCCUUAUUAUCAGUUGCCAGCAUUAAGUUGGGCACUCUGGUGAGACUGCCGGUGACAAACCGGAGGAAGGUGGGGAUGACGUCAAAUCAUCAUGCCCCUUAUGACCUGGGCUACACACGUGCUACAAUGGAUGGUACAACGAGUUGCGAACUCGCGAGAGUAAGCUAAUCUCUUAAAGCCAUUCUCAGUUCGGAUUGUAGGCUGCAACUCGCCUACAUGAAGUCGGAAUCGCUAGUAAUCGCGGAUCAGCAUGCCGCGGUGAAUACGUUCCCGGGCCUUGUACACACCGCCCGUCACACCAUGAGAGUUUGUAACACCCAAAGUCGGUGGGGUAACCUUUUAGGAACCAGCCGCCUAAGGUGGGACAGAUGAUUAGGGUG